AGUCCCGUGGUGUAUAAACACAUAAGAUUGCAAAUCUCAAGAUGCAGAUUGACGUCUGCCGGGGCUU
rnacentral:tRNA from 1 species